CCAAUAGUAUUUGCUGCGAUCUUUGGCUUACAUUAAUCUACAUAUUUAAUAUCUGUUCUAUAGCUCUAUAGUCGUGUUAUGUAUCUCCAGAUACAUUUAACGGUAAUAUAGAAUUGUACAUAAUGAUAAGCAACCUAUCAACUUUGGGUAGUGCGAUCGUUCGCCUGAAUUCGCCUGCUACUUGCAUUUCAGAGUCCGUAGUUUAGUUUGCAUGGAGUAAGUGUAAUCUUUUUUUGAGAAAGAUACUUCUGUUAUGUCCAGUUAGCGCGAUAUUCUCUUUGCUUAAGAUACAUUUCGACCCAAUAGAUACUUGAUACUAAAUGAUAUGCAGUCUCGUUGAUGUGAUCGUGGGCCAGCCCGCUUCUAGCUCUAUACUAUAAGGUCUAUAGUUCCCAUCAGCAUAACUAUUGCCAUUACCAUAGCCAUCAUCGUUGUCGUCGUCGACGUCGUCGUCGUUGUCGUUGUUGUACUCUGUCAUUAACAAAACAACUGUUGCGACCUUCACAUACCAGAGCAGCCAAGCGACUGUGAGCCAAGCGAGCAGCCGAGCAGUUGAGCAGUUGAGCAGUCGAGUAGCUGAGCAGCAGCGCGCAUGUGCACAUACUUGCAGCAGCAGCAGCAGCAGCAGCGACUGUUGCUGUUCCCUCCAGCAAAGCAACUCACACAGUUACUGAAACACACAAACACACACACGCGCACGCCAGCAGCAACUACGUCGCGCCGACUGCGCAGCGGCAGCGGCUCAGGAAUGCGGUUUUGACAAGUUCUUCUAAAAUUGUACGAGCAACUUUGCUAUUUACGCUAUGAAACGACGACAACAACAACAGCAGCAACAACAACAGCGGCACCAACGAAGAGAGCGGCAACGAACGAGUGUGCGAAGGAGCGCGGAAGGCAAAACAAGCAAGAAUGCAGUACACUUUAGGGGAUACUGAAUAGCUAGCAUACCCUGCAAAUAGGUGUUGACUUAAACAAUAAAGAAUAACGAAUAAAAAAUAA